GCGUCCGUAGCUCAUCUGGAUAGAGCGACGGACUUCGAAUCCGUAGGCAGCAGGUUCGAGUCCUGUCGGACGCA
rnacentral:tRNA from 1 species